AGUGAACGCUGGCGGUAGGCCUAACACAUGCAAGUCGAACGGCAGCACAGUAAGAGCUUGCUCUUACGGGUGGCGAGUGGCGGACGGGUGAGGAAUACAUCGGAAUCUACUUUUUCGUGGGGGAUAACGUAGGGAAACUUACGCUAAUACCGCAUACGACCUACGGGUGAAAGCAGGGGAUCUUCGGACCUUGCGCGAUUGAAUGAGCCGAUGUCGGAUUAGCUAGUUGGCGGGGUAAAGGCCCACCAAGGCGACGAUCCGUAGCUGGUCUGAGAGGAUGGUCAGCCACACUUGAACUGAGACACGGUCCAGACUCCUACGGGAGGGAGCAGGUGGGAAUAUUGGACCAAGGGCGGAAGCCCGAUCCAGGCAUACCGGGGUGGGUAAGAAGGCCUUCGGGUUUGAAAGGCCUUUUGGUGGGAAAGAAAAGCAGCCAGGUAAAUCCCCGGUGUUCUGACGGGACCCAAAGAAUAAGCAACCGCUUACUUCCUU
rnacentral:rRNA from 1 species